GGAAUCUUGCACAAUGGGCGAAAGCCUGAUGCAGCGACGCCGCGUGGGGGAUGAAGGCCUUAGGGUCGUAAACCCCUUUCAGCAGGGACGAAAAUGACGGUACCUGCAGAAGAAGCCCCGGCCAACUACGUGCCAGCAGCCGCGGUAAGACGUAGGGGGCGAGCGUUGUCCGGAUUUAUUGGGCGUAAAGAGCUCGUAGGCGGUUGCGUAAGUCGGAUGUGAAAACUCAGGGCUCAACCCUGAGACGCCAUCCGAUACUGCGCUGACUUGAAUCCAGUAGGGGAGUGUGGAAUUCCUGGUGUAGCGGUGAAAUGCGCAGAUAUCAGGAGGAACACCCAUGGCGAAGGCAGCACUCUGGGCUGGUAUUGACGCUGAGGAGCGAAAGCAUGGGUAGCGAACAGGAUUAGAUACCCCCGUAGUCCCUGAGCGGGCUGGCAAGGCGCAU
rnacentral:rRNA from 1 species